rnacentral:rRNA from 1 species
ACUCCUACGGGAGGCAGCAGUGGGGAAUAUUGCACAAUGGGCGCAAGCCUGAUGCAGCCAUGCCGCGUGUAUGAAGAAGGCCUUCGGGUUGUAAAGUACUUUCAGCGGGGAGGAAGGCGAUAAGGUUAAUAACCUUGUUGAUUGACGUUACCCGCAGAAGAAGCACCGGCUAACUCCGUGCCAGCAGCCGCGGUAAUACGGAGGGUGCAAGCGUUAAUCGGAAUUACUGGGCGUAAAGCGCACGCAGGCGGUCUGUCAAGUCGGAUGUGAAAUCCCCGGGCUCAACCUGGGAACUGCAUUCGAAACUGGCAGGCUAGAGUCUUGUAGAGGGGGGUAGAAUUCCAGGUGUAGCGGUGAAAUGCGUAGAGAUCUGGAGGAAUACCGGUGGCGAAGGCGGCCCCCUGGACAAAGACUGACGCUCAGGUGCGAAAGCGUGGGGAGCAAACAGGAUUAGAAACCCCAGUAGUCCCAUGA